GCUGAGGCGUGAUGACGAGGCACUACGGUGCUGAAGCGACAAAUGCCCUGCUUCCAGGAAAAGCCUCUAAGCAUCAGGUAACAUCAAAUCGUACCCCAAACCGACACAGGUGGUCAGGUAGAGAAUACCAAGGCGCUUGAGAGAACUCGGGUGAAGGAACUAGGCAAAAUGGUGCCGUAACUUCGGGAGAAGGCACGCUGAUAUGUAGGUGAAGCGACUUGCUCGUGGAGCUGAAAUCAGUCGAAGAUACCAGCUGGCUGCAACUGUUUAUUAAAAACACAGCACUGUGCAAACACGAAAGUGGACGUAUACGGUGUGACGCCUGCCCGGUGCCGGAAGGUUAAUUGAUGGGGUUAGCGGCAACGCGAAGCUCUUGAUCGAAGCCCCGGUAAACGGCGGCCGUAACUAUAACGGUCCUAAGGUAGCGAAAUUCCUUGUCGGGUAAGUUCCGACCUGCACGAAUGGCGUAAUGAUGGCCAGGCUGUCUCCACCCGAGACUCAGUGAAAUUGAACUCGCUGUGAAGAUGCAGUGUACCCGCGGCAAGACGGAAAGACCCCGUGAACCUUUACUAUAGCUUGACACUGAACAUUGAGCCUUGAUGUGUAGGAUAGGUGGGAGGCUUUGAAGUGUGGACGCCAGUCUGCAUGGAGCCGACCUUGAAAUACCACCCUUUAAUGUUUGAUGUUCUAACGUUGGCCCCUAAUCGGGGUUGCGGACAGUGUCUGGUGGGUAGUUUGACUGGGGCGGUCUCCUCCUAAAGAGUAACGGAGGAGCACGAAGGUUGGCUAAUCCUGGUCGGACAUCAGGAGGUUAGUGCAAUGGCAUAAGCCAGCUUGACUGCGAGCGUGACGGCGCGAGCAGGUGCGAAAGCAGGUCAUAGUGAUCCGGUGGUUCUGAAUGGAAGGGCCAUCGCUCAACGGAUAAAAGGUACUCCGGGGAUAACAGGCUGAUACCGCCCAAGAGUUCAUAUCGACGGCGGUGUUUGGCACCUCGAUGUCGGCUCAUCACAUCCUGGGGCUGAAGUAGGUCCCAAGGGUAUGGCUGUUCGCCAUUUAAAGUGGUACGCGAGCUGGGUUUAGAACGUCGUGAGACAGUUCGGUCCCUAUCUGCCGUGGGCGCUGGAGAACUGAGGGGGGCUGCUCCUAGUACGAGAGGACCGGAGUGGACGCAUCACUGGUGUUCGGGUUGUCAUGCCAAUGGCACUGCCCGGUAGCUAAAUGCGGAAGAGAUAAGUGCUGAAAGCAUCUAAGCACGAAACUUGCCCCGAGAUGAGUUCUCCCUGAGACUUAGAGUCUCCUGAAGGAACGUUGAAGACGACGACGUUGAUAGGCCGGGUGUGUAAGCGCAGCGAUGCGUUGAGCUAACCGGUACUAAUGAACCGUGAGGCUUAACCUUACAACGCCGAAG
rnacentral:rRNA from 1 species